rnacentral:rRNA from 1 species
UACGUAGGCAGCAAGCGUUGUUCGGAGUUACUGGGCGUAAAGGGUGUGUAGGCGGUUCUUUAAGUUUGGUGUGAAAUCUCCCGGCUCAACCGGGAGGGUGCGCCGAAUACUGAGGAGCUAGAGCGCGGGAGAGGAAAGUGGAAUUCCUGGUGUAGCGGUGAAAUGCGUAGAUAUCAGGAGGAACACCGGUGGUGUAAACGGCUUUCUGGACCGUAACUGACGCUGAGACACGAAAGCGUGGGUAGCAAACAGG